rnacentral:rRNA from 1 species
CGCCUCUUGAAACAAAACAUAAGAGGUCCCGCCUGCCCGGUGACUAUUAGUUUAACGGCCGCGGUAUUUUGACCGUGCAAAGGUAGCGCAAUCACUUGUCCUUUAAAUGAAGACCUGUAUGAAUGGCACCACGAGGGCUCAACUGUCUCCUUUUUCCUGUCAAUGAAAUUGAUCUCCCCGUGCAGAAGCGGGGAUUCCCCCAUAAGACGAGAAGACCCUAUGGAGCUUCAGGCACCAGAACAGACUAUGUUAAGCACCCCAAUACAAAAGACAAAACUAACUAGCCCCUAUUCUAAUGCCUUUGGUUGGGGCGACCGCGGGGAAACAGAAAACCCCCACGUGGACUAAGAACACCUCACUCUUACAACCAAGGGCUACAGCCCUAAGUAACAGAACCUCUGACCCUAAACGAUCCGGUAUAACCGAUCAACGAACCGAGUUACCCUAGGGAUAACAGCGCAAUCCCCUUCUAGAGUCCAUAUCGACAAGGGGGUUUACGACCUCGAUGUUGGAUCAGGACAUCCUAUUGGUGCAGCCGCUAUUAAGGGUUCGUUUGUUCAACGAUUAAAGUCCU